GCCAGCGGCUAUAUCGCCCACCCUGCACCUCACAACUGGCAAUCUACCGAAACUAAGCAGGAGUGAGCCUGGCCAGUACCUGCAUGGGAGACCUCUAGGGAAAACUAACGGUGCUGCUGGAA
rnacentral:rRNA from 1 species